UAUAGUCUAUGGUGUAUCCACUUUCUGACCCUGUGUGUCUCUGUCAGAUGGGGACCCUGGUGUUGUGGGGGACACCUGACGUGUCUUUCGCUGUUCCAUUGUGGGUCAUUAUCCUGGCCAUACUGCUGGGACUGCUGGUGCUAGCCAUGCUUACGCUAGUCAUGUGGAAGUGUGGCUUCUUUGAUCGAGCACGACCUCCGGUUGAUGAUGACAUCAGCGACCGGGAGCAGCUCACAUCUGACCAAUCAGCAGAUGCCUGAGACAAGAGCUGCUGAUUGGAGGACUGGACCAUGGGGUGCUUUUACUUUUUUUGACAAAAUUCAGUAAGGGGUCUGCAGGUGGAUCCAAACGUCUUCACCCUCCAUAUCUAUAACUCCUCCAUCCUCCAACCCACCACUGUUUGCACAAAACAAAUGGCCUGGAAGGACAGUUUGAGUAAAGACAGCAGCCCCAGACAACCUGACGAAGGAAUCCAAGCAGAUCCAUAUGGAGCCAGGCAUUCUCUGGAGAUUGAAGAGGCAUGUGUAGCAGACUCUGUGUUAAUUGAUUCUCCAGACUACAAUGAGGAGGAGCUCCGUGGAAGAUGUGGCCGCAAUGAAGACAGAAGGGACAUUGUUCCAAACACAAUGCGAACACACGAGUUGAAUGUUUGAUUUCCCGUAUGGUUUUUUGCUAUGUGCGCCUACAAAAGUGAGUAACAAAGAAAGGGGAAUUGUGUGUGUGCGUGUGUGUGUGCGUGUAUGUGUGUGUGUGUGUGUGUGUGUGUGUGUGUGUGUGUGUGUGUGUGUGUGUGUGUGUGUGUGUGUGUGUGUGUGUGUGUGUGUGCGUGCGUGCGUGCGUGCGUGCGUGCGUGCGUGAGUGCGUGCGUGCGUGCGUGCGUGCGUGCGUGCGUGCGUGCGUGCGUGUGUGUGUGUACAUGUGAGCAUUAUCUCUUCAGUCUGUUUAAAUGUAAUCUCAUUGUAAUUGAAUUAGUUGUACUUGACCAUAUGGAAAAUUACAUCUACACAGACACAAGCACGGGAUUUAAGUAUAUUUAUGAAUGUAUGUGCAAUAUUUGAAGGUUGCGUGAUAGUGAAGCUUGUUUACACUGGCAUUAUUUUAUUAGAGCUUAAUGUUUCCAUUCUUUCUGUAUAUAAUUGAUUGAACGAUAUUAUGUUAGGCAACAUUGCUGCAAGAUUAACUGUUCAAAUAAAAUCUACCCUGACUUACUUUUGGCGAAGAGAAGUAAAGAUAUGAAGCAUGAAGAAAUUGAUUUGCAAUAAGUUACCUUUAUGUUGCCCACAUCUUCAGCAAGGAGCUCACUUGAUCUUCCUUCACAUUUUAGUAUGUGCACAUAUUGUGAAUAUAGGUCAGUCUAUAGGCACAAUAUCCUUUAUGUAUAGCUUUUAAAUUCAUAAUGUUUGUAAAUACUUAACCUUAAAUGUGGGUCGAAUAUUUGGAUGGAUUGUGUUGGAAAUAAACUGCCCUUUGAAUAAUGAUGCUUCAAUGUGGAUAAUGAACGGAGUGUACAUCCCUAAUAUGUCCAUGAUCCCACUUCACAUCACCAACAGGUUAUCUCUUCAGUGUAAAUAUGUGUAUAUUCUGCCACUUACUGGUGUGUGUACGAAAGUGUUUCACCACUGCAAUGACUUCGAGAGUGGUGGCUCAGCCUACCAGCAAAGUAAAUGUUAUAAAUGUAAUCAUGAGACAUAUUCUAUGUCUCAUGAUUACAUUUACACAUACACUCCCUUUUUUUUUUUAAUGUGCAAACAAAUGGAAACAUUGUAAUAAAGAGAUUUCUUCCUCAGA